rnacentral:rRNA from 1 species
GUGCCAGCCGCCGCGGUAAUACGGAGGGGGCAAGCGUUAUUCGGAUUUACUGGGCGUAAAGCGCACGUAGGUGGCAUGGUAAGUCAAAGGUGAAAGCCCUCGGCUCAACCGAGGAAUUGCCUUUGAAACUGCUUUGCUUGAGUCCGGGAGGGGGGAGCGGAAUUCCCAGUGUAGCGGUGAAAUGCGUAGAUACUGGGAGGAACACCGGUGGCGAAGGCGGCUCCCUGGACCGGUACUGACACUGAGGUGCGAAAGCGUGGGUAGCAAACAGGAUUAGAAACCCUAGUAGUCC